UCGAAAUCCCCCCCACACAUCAUGAAUUAAUUUUUUCAAUUAAUUCAAUGGACUUUACAAAUGGGCUCCUAACAUGAAUUAAUUUUAUGAACCAAUUUCAUGAGAUUCGACUCAAACCGACCGCCAUGUCAUUAAACUGCGCAACUCAAUUUAAAAUCGACCGCCAUAUCGCUAAACUGAGCAACUCAAUUUAAAAUCGACCGCCAUGUCGCUAAACUGAGCAACUCAAUUUAAAAUCAACCGCCAUGUCGCUAAACUGAACAUCUCAAUUUCAGUCGACUGCUAAGUCGCUAAACUGAGCAAAUCAAGUUCAAAUAUGACCGUCAAGUCGUUAAACUGAACAAGUGACUAUUAAGUCAUUUAAACUGAACUUUUGACCGCCAAGUCGUUAAACUGAGCAAUUAAAUCAAACCCCUUUGACUGCCAAGUCGUUAAACUGAGCAAUCAAAUCAAACCCUUCUGACCGCCACGUCGCUAAACUGAGCAACUCAAUUCAAAAUCGGCCGCCAUGUCGCUAAACUGAGCACUUCAACUUCAAUCGACCGCCAAGUCGCUAAACUAAGCAAAUCAUGUUCAAAUAUGACCGUCAAGUCGUUAAACUGAACAAAUGACUGUAAAAUCAUUAAACUGAACAUCCGACCGCCAUGUCAUUAAACUGAGCACCAAAACUCAAAUUGACCGCCAUGUCGCUAAACUGAGCAACCCAAUUUAAAAUCGACCGCCAUAUCGCUAAACCGAGCAACUCAAUUUAAAAUCGAUCGCCAUGUCGCUAAACUGAGCACCUCAACUUCAACCGACCGCUAUAUCAUUAAACUAAGCAACUCAACUCAAAAUCGACCGUCAUGUCACUAAACUGAGCAUCUCAACUUUAAUCGACCAUUAAGUCUAUAAACUGCGUAUUUAAUUUUAUAAAAUCUAUGUAC
rnacentral:lncRNA from 1 species